rnacentral:rRNA from 1 species
AACGAACGCUGGCGGCAGGCCUAACACAUGCAAGUCGAGCGCCCCGCAAGGGGAGCGGCGGACGGGCGAGUAACGCGUGGGAACGUACCUUUUGCUUCGGAAUAGCCUCGGGAAACUGGGAGUAAUACCGAAUGUGCCCUAUGGGGGAAAGAUUUAUCGGCAAAAGAUCGGCCCGCGUUGGAUUAGGUAGUUGGUGGGGUAAUGGCCUACCAAGCCGACGAUCCAUAGCUGGUUUGAGAGGAUGAUCAGCCACACUGGGACUGAGACACGGCCCAGACUCCUACGGGAGGCAGCAGUGGGGAAUCUUAGACAAUGGGCGCAAGCCUGAUCUAGCCAUGCCGCGUGAGCGAUGAAGGCCUUAGGGUUGUAAAGCUCUUUCGUGGGGGAAGAUAAUGACUGUACCCCAAGAAGAAGCCCCGGCUAACUCCGUGCCAGCCGCCGCAGUAAGAC